GGCUUGGUGGUGUAAUGGUAAUGCGCUCCGUGUUGUUCUAAAACAUUUGUAUAUCGCAAGACAGACAGUUCGGAGUUCGAUUCUCUGUCAAGCCA